GCUAAUACCUUAUACUCCUUAUUAACUAAAGUUAGUAAGGGAAAGAUUUAUUGGUAAGAGAUUAGCCUGUAUUGUAUCAGAUUAGGUAGGUUGGUAGGGGGUAAAAGCCUACCAAGCCGACGAUCUGUAGCUGGUCUGAGAGGACGACCAGCCACACUGGGACUGAGACACGGCCCAGACUCCUACGGGAGGCAGCAGGUGGGGAAUAUUGCACAAUGGACGAAAGUCUGAUGCAGCAACGCCGCGUGGAGGAUGACACAUUUCGGUGCGUAAACUCCUUUUAUAUGAGAAGAUAAUGACGGUAUUAUAUGAAUAAGCACCGGCUAACUCCGUG
rnacentral:rRNA from 1 species